rnacentral:rRNA from 1 species
AGAGUUUGAUCCUGGCUCAGAACGAACGCUGGCGGCGUGCUUAACACAUGCAAGUCGAACGCGAAAAGUUUUCUUCGGAAGACGAGUAGAGUGGCGCACGGGUGAGUAACGCGUAAGUUAUCUACCUCGGCAUCUGGAAUAACUCACCGAAAGGUGUGCUAAUACCGGAUACGUUGAGAAAUCAAGAAAGGUGGCCUCUGAAUAUGCUACCGUGCUGAGAUGAGCUUGCGUACCAUUAGCUAGUUGGUAGGGUAAUGGCCUACCAAGGCAACGAUGGUUAGCGGGUCUGAGAGGAUGAUCCGCCACACUGGAACUGAAACACGGACCAGACUCCUACGGGAGGCAGCAGUGAGGAAUAUUGCGCAAUGGGGGCAACCCUGACGCAGCGACGCCGCGUGGAUGAUGAAGGCCUUCGGGUCGUAAAAUCCUGUCAGAUGGAAAGAAAUGUACAGGUGUUAAUAUCGCCUGUAUUUGACGGUACCAUCAAAGGAAGCACCGGCUAACUCCGUGCCAGCCGCCGCGGUAAUA